AAAUUUCAAAGAUUAAAAUAUUUCAUGCCCCGCUUUCACACACCCACGAUAUCCUCAAACCCCUCUUUACUCUUAACCAACUCGCCCUAAACCCUCACUCUAUUCUUCACCAAAAUCCUAGAUCUCCUCAAUAGAUUAAUCUCCUCAACCCAAUUCUCUGUCAUCCCAUAAAUGGGGAAUCUGGAGAAUUUCACAAUUCUCACUCUUCGCCGCAAUUUCAUCCUUAAUUAUAAGCUUCUUGUGGAUAUGGAUGUCGCUUCGGUAUCGUAAUUGCAAUAUCGAAAACUUAUUACGAACCCGAUCAUAGCGUCGUCAAUAAAGUCAUCAACAGGGAAAUCACUCCUCGACGCUAAUUUCACCGCUUAAUGUAAGUAUUUUUAUUAAUUUUCUAUACAUAAAUUCUUGCAUGUUAGAUCUGUAAAAUCAACUUAUGCAAUUGAGAUUUAUGGGAGGUCUUGACGGAAUAAUUACGGGGUUGGGGAUGCCUAUUUGGGAACUAGGGACACAAUAAUACAGCAGAUUCAAACCUUUGAAUUUUAAGGGGAAACAUAUUGUUGUUCUUGGAAUUGGAGAUAAAUCUGAUUAUGAUAAAUAGAGUAAUGAUGGGGUUAAUAAGUUCAAUAAAUUUUUAAUUAAUCGAUUUAAUCAAUAAAUAGUGUAAUUUGAAGGUUUUUAUUACUUGUAUAUAUGAUAACUGAUUCUAUUUAAUAACAUUAUUUUGUUGAUUUUGUAUUCUUGGAUUUUGAUUUUGGGACUAUUUGAUUUUUUAAGAGCGCCUUAUAGUAGAAUUUAUGAUUUUUCAUACAUAUAUGAAUGGAAUAUUUAGGGAUAUAUGUAAACACACAUUAUUUCAUUCUUGUAAAUCGAGUAGUAAUAUUGCUUAAUUGAUUAAAAAGUAGAAAUUUAAUAUUGCAUAUUUAGUUGAUGAAGUGUCCCGAGUGCUUAAAUUUCUCUCUGCUCCCCUACUCAUUAACUUCUACUAUCACUUCAAGUGUUAUAAUCGUCAGUAAAUGUAUAUUCCACUGACUGUGUUAGUGUAGAAUUAUUUGUAUCACAUCUCAAAAUUAUCACUAUAUAUGGUUUUAUUACUUGUCUUUAAGUAAGAAAAAUAGUUACAAAGAGUAAACAAGUUUGAUUUUAAGGACUCAGAAAAUGUAGUUUGUGAAUUUUUGGCUCCUCUUCGGAAUUUGAGGUCUAUUUGGUACUUGCAUCUCCUCCUCCAUUUCGCAGGUGCACGACUCUUUAUCUUGUCAAUUUUUAGGGAGAAAUUUAAGUGAAUGUCGUUAUUUUUUGGGUGUUAUGGAAAUUUUUCAUUCAAUUGUGAAUGACUCUAAUUUCACAUGUUUUUUUUGGGUAAUACCGUAGUUCUAUCGGGUCCAUUUAUUAUGGAGCCAAAUAUUCAUUCGUUCUUUUAGACUUUAGGAUAUCUAUCUCUAUUCUAUAAAGGAACAGCUGAGGUCUUUUAGGUAAUUUAACUUUUUGUGUCCACCUUGAAAAAUACCAAAAUACCCUUCUUUUCGAUGUUUACAGAUGCUUGACUGCUUGCUGAGCCCUCACUUUCGUUUCUAGGGUUAGAGUUCCUCCGCCUCAUUAACUCUCGCCUACUUUCUCUCUCCUCCCUCAUCUUCGAUCUCUCCUCCCAUCACUCAAUCUCUCAUCUCGAUCUCUCCUCCCUUCACUCAAUAUCUCAUCUUCGAUCUCUCCUCCAAUCAAUUCCUUUUAUUUUUUACUUUUUUUAAUCAAAUGCCUUUCAUUACUUCUCGGCGUUCCUCACCAUUGACUCAGAGAUUGUUUUGUAAAAAAAUUCCGACAAAUGUAGGACUUGAUGAUAUUGGGGUUGCAGAUUUCGGAAUUCCAGGUUUUCGAAACGCAUUUGAAUCGAAAAAUUGAUUUCGCUGGUAAUCGGGUUAUGAUUUUCGCUGGUAAUUCUUCGAUCUAGAAAAUUUUGAAAUUUUUAUUUUUUAUUUUAGAAAACAAAUGUUUUGGGUUUUGGGAAAUUCAUCGCCGAAAUUCGUUCGGAGAUUAUGCAUUGAAAUUCUUGAAGAUUGUCAUGUUUUCCAUUGUUUGGAGGCUCAUCGAAAUUGAAGGUAUGUUUAUAUCUUUCUUUUCUUGCAAUUAGACGUUUUUAGCAAAUUUUUUUGGUGAAUUCUUUUGUAUUUUGAUUGCUUGGGUAUUUUGAAAAUUAGUUGAAUUGGUUUGUGAUUUGUGAAUGUGUGAUUUAUUGAAAUUUCUUUGUUCAUAUUGACUAAUCCCGAUUUCUGAAAAUUUGCUAAUUUUUAGUCUUUGAUUUUUCUUCGAGAUAUUUCUGGAAUUUGUUUUUUGCGUUUAAUUUUGCUUUUUUUUUUUUUCAACUUUUAGGGUUUAGAAGAUAGAAGCAUAACCAAAAACCCAUCAAAGGUGGUCGCUUCCACCUCUAAUGGUUCAAUUUGUGGGUUCAAAUCGGUUCUCCACCUCCUUCCUUCUUUUCUCCUUGCUGACACUUUCCAGCAUGAAAUCGUCCCUGCUGAGCUAAUUGAUCGCAUUGAUUCACUCGGGUCAUCUGCAAACCUCUGCAAGUAAAAGCAGUGUGUUAGAGGAAGAAAGAGUAGAGAGGAGCAGCAAUGGAUCGAGUUCGUCAGCCCAGAAGGCCUCCGCCUAGCCGGUCAUCGUCCCUUGGAGAUGAGGCAGCUUCGCGCUGAAAUUGGGGCCGUCUCUAAAGCUGACAGAAUGCUGACAGUUUUGAUCCGGCGCAUUCUGAUAGAAGUAUUGAGCUUGAGCUGGGAAGAGAUAUUCAAUGCCAACAGCGAAAAUGUGAUCCCUUUUCAUCCUGAUGGCUGGAUGAAGUUGUUUGAUUUCUGUCUGGAUGUAGUGUUGUUUAAAAUGAAUAAUCUGUCUGCAUUUUUAGUUGACCUUUUUAGCAUUUUAUGUUGAAAUUGAAUUUGGGUAUGUUUGUUUUUGUGUUUUGAGAAAUUAAGUUACUUUUUUAUAACAUGAAAA